rnacentral:rRNA from 1 species
AGUGAACGCUGGCGGUAGGCCUAACACAUGCGAGUCGAACGGCAGCACAGGAGAGCUUGCUCUCUGGGUGGCGAGUGGCGGACGGGUGAGGAAUACAUCGGAAUCUGCCCAGUCGUGGGGGAUAACGUAGGGAAACUUACGCUAAUACCGCAUACGACCUUCGGGUGAAAGAGGGGGAUCGCAAGACCUCUCGCGAUUGGAUGAGCCGAUGUCGGAUUAGCUAGUUGGCGGGGUAAUGGCCCACCAAGGCGACGAUCCGUAGCUGGUCUGAGAGGAUGAUCAGCCACACUGGAACUGAGACACGGUCCAGGCUCCUACGGGAGGCAGCAGUGGGGAAUAUUGGACAAUGGGCGCAAGCCUGAUCCAGCCAUACCGCGUGGGUGAAGAAGGCCUUCGGGUUGUAAAGCCCUUUUGUUGGGAAAGAAAUCUUUCAGGCUAAUACCCUGGGAGGAUGACGGUACCCAAAGAAUAAGCACCGGCUAACUUCGUG